AACGAACGCUGGCGGCAGGCUUAACACAUGCAAGUCGAACGCAUCCUUCGGGGUGAGUGGCAGACGGGUGAGUAACACGUGGGAACGCACCUUUCGGUUCGGGAUAACCCAGGGAAACUUGGGCUAAUACCGGAUACGUCCUUUGGGAGCAGUCCUUUGGGAGAAAGAUUCAUUGCCGAGAGAUCGGCCCGCGUCUGAUUAGCUAGUUGGUGGGUAACGCUCACCAAGGCGACGAUCAGUAGCNGGUCUGAGAGGAUGAUCAGCCACACUGGGACUGAGACACGGCCAGACUCCUACGGGAGGCAGCAGUGGGAAUAUUGCGCAAUGGGCGGAAGCCUGACGCAGCGACGCCGCGUGGGGA
rnacentral:rRNA from 1 species